rnacentral:tRNA from 1 species
AGUAGCGUGGCCGAGCGGUCCAAGGCGCUGGUUUAAGGCACCAGUCUCUUCGGGGGCAUGGGUUCGAAUCCCAUCGCUGCCA